GUGAAGUCAUGUGAGUGAUUCAGUAUAUGCUUUGUAUGGCUGGAGAAAGCUCAGUAGAUACAAGAAAAAGCAGUGUGUAACAGAUCUCCCCCCACCAUGCAGUGAUCUAAGAGAUGGACCCAGGCUAAAUGGUUUGGAAUAGUUCACCAGUGAAGUCAUCUCAACCAGCACAGGGCCUUGACUCCUAACAACAAUCACACGAACUUGGAAGAGGAGCCUUCCCCACCUGAACCUUCACUUGAGACCUCGUCCUUGGCCAUCCUCUACAUCUGGAUUCAUGAUACAGAGAAACUUGAGUAAUGAUGACAAUAGCAGUCCAGUGUGCAUGGAUGCUGACGUGGAUGCUGUCUCCCAUUCUUACCACUGGAUGGGAAGAAAUGAUAGAUGCAAUCCAGCCAUUGUGUUCUCGACUCUCAGUUCCAUCUUCUCAACUGACAUUGUCUUCCAAAGUCCGUGCCACACCACAGCCUGGAACAUCUCCCAAAGUGGUAUCUUGAUGCAAUGGUAGAGCUCAUGUCACAGUAUUGUAUGUCUCAGGUUUGAAUAACUCACCAGUGAAGUCAUCUUGACCUGGACAGAAAUUGAAUCCUCCCGAGAAUCCCAGGAGCUGGGUAGGUGAUCCUUCCCCAGAUGAGCCUUCCCUUGAAAUCUCUGCCAGGCAUCUGACCCAGAGAAACUACCAUGAUCAUGGACUGCAUUCUCCAUACCAUGUUCAUAUCUUCAGUGGGAAAACAAACUCCUGAGUCCUGGAGACCUAGAAUGAGAGACACAGCUGACCUUGACCGUAUUUCUCACUUCUGAGAAGAUUGUAGCAGUAAUUCAGGUCUUUGUGGAAUCUCCACACUGCCUUCCACAAUGGUUGAACUAAUUUGGACGUCCACCAACGGUGUUAGAAUGUUGAAAACAAGUGUCAAGAGUGGAAAUCCUUGUCUUGUUUCUAAUCUUGGAGAAAUUAGUGAACCUUUCAGAUAACUUAUGAUG
rnacentral:lncRNA from 10 species